AUUGAACGCUGGCGGCAGGCCUAACACAUGCAAGUCGAGCGGAUGAAGGGAGCUUGCUCCUGGAUUCAGCGGCGGACGGGUGAGUAAUGCCUAGGAAUCUGCCUGGUAGUGGGGGAUAACGUCCGGAAACGGGCGCUAUUACCGCAUACGUCCUGAGGGAGAAAGUGGGGGAUCUUCGGACCUCACGCUAUCAGAUGAGCCUAGGUCGGAUUAGCUAGUUGGUGGGGUAAAGGCCUACCAAGGCGACGAUCCGUAACUGGUCUGAGAGGAUGAUCAGUCACACUGGAACUGAGACACGGUCCAGACUCCUACGGGAGGCAGCAGUGGGGAAUAUUGGACAAAGGGCGAAAGCCUGAUCCAGCCAUGCCGCGUGUGUGAAGAAGGUCUUCGGAUUGUAAAGCACUUUAAGUUGGGAGGAAGGGCAGUAAGUUAAUACCUUGCUGUUUUGACGUUACCAACAGAAUGAGCACCGGCUAACUUCGUG
rnacentral:rRNA from 1 species